AGGGGGAGGCCGGAUCCUGGGCUGUAUCCUGGUGCCCAGUGCUCCGGAGCCUGCGCUGUUGGAUUCGUGCUCCUGGUGGCGCAGCGCCUCU
rfam:Canis lupus familiaris chromosome 35, whole genome shotgun sequence.